AGAAAGGAUCAUGGAGGAGGAAUGGAGAAGUCUCUCGUAGUGCGUCUAUGCCCAAUUAUGGCAGUAGAAUGCAAUUUGCUUAUAGAAAUCUCGAUAGGCGUCCUUCCUGGGUUCAGAGUUUCUCCGCAUAUGAUACAACCCUCAAAUCUGACAUAGAUUCGAGACAUGGGUCGGGUCUGACGGACUAUGUUUCACAGACAAGUUUCUCUAUUCAACCUGAAGAUGGAAAAUCUGAGACUGUCUCGUCUACAAUAAAAAUGCAGCACAAUCAGUCGUUUGAUUAUUCUUUUCUCGAAG
rnacentral:misc_RNA from 1 species